rnacentral:rRNA from 1 species
UACGCAGGGGGCUAGCGUUGCUCGGAAUCACUGGGCGUAAAGCGCACGUAGGCGGACUCUUAAGUCAGGGGUGAAAUCCUGGAGCUCAACUCCAGAACUGCCUUUGAUACUGAGGAUCUUGAGUUCGGGAGAGGUGAGUGGAACUGCGAGUGUAGAGGUGAAAUUCGUAGAUAUUCGCAAGAACACCAGUGGCGAAGGCGGCUCACUGGCCCGAUACUGACGCUGAGGCACGAAAGCGUGGGGAGCAAACAGG